UACAGAGGAUGCAAGCGUUAUCCGGAUUCACUGGGUUUAAAGGGAGCGUAGGUGGGUUGGUAAGUCAGUGGUGAAAUCCCCGAGCUUAACUUGGGAACUGCCAUUGAUACUAUCAGUCUUGAAUACUGUGGAGGUUAGCGGAAUAUGUCAUGUAGCGGUGAAAUGCUUAGAUAUGACAUAGAACACCAAUUGCGAAGGCAGCUGGCUACACAAAUAUUGACACUGAUGCACGAAAGCGUGGGGAUCAAACAGG
rnacentral:rRNA from 1 species